rnacentral:rRNA from 1 species
AUACGUAGGUGCCAAGCGUUAUCCGGAUUUACUGGGUGUAAAGGGCGUGUAGGCGGUUUAGCAAGUCAGAAGUGAAAUUCCCGGGCUUAACUUGGGCGCUGCUUCUGAAACUGCUUUACUUGAGUGCUGGAGAGGAUAGUGGAAUUCCUAGUGUAGCGGUGAAAUGCGUAGAGAUUGGGAGGAACACCAGUGGCGAAGGCGGGACACUGUACUGCAACGGACGCUGAGGCGCGAAAGGGUGGGGAGCAAACAGGAUUAGAUACCCUGCUAGUCCGAGCCGUAAACGAUGGGCGCGCGUCGUCGGCGGCAGACAGGCGGCGGCCAAGCGAAAGCGAUAAGCGCCCCACCUGGGGAGUACGGUCGCAAGGCUGAAACUCAAAGGAAUGGGCGGGG